CAAGCAGCAGUGCCAUGGCCUGCUGUAAGAUCACCUCCAUAGACAGCCUCGUGGCAGACAGGACCUGUCAGGAUUCAGCCAUUGUAGGCUACAAGGACUUGUCCUCCAUUUUGGUGGUCGUCCCCCAGAAAGACCUUCAUUGGUGUCCUGGUAGGUGAAGACUGGUCAAGUUUUUUAUGAAUGGGCUGACACUUGGGGAUCAGAAAUGUUCUGUGACCUGGUAUUUGCUCUGCAGGAUGGGAAAUUUACAAUAGAUCUUAAUAUCACGAGCACAGGAGGAGCACCGCCUUCAACAUCACUGUCACCAUGAUGCUAGUCUGCUGAUGAGCAAAGAAGAGUUUGGACCCCCAGGGUCACAAAGAAGUUGAAGAGCACUUCAAACCUAUGUGAAAAUGGCUGAAGUCAGCAGCAGAGUAUUUCACCUGGGAGAAUGACUGUGGCCUAGUGGUCUGGGGCAAAUUCUCGGCAGUGCUACACAAGGAUGUGGCUUAGUCUCCUCACAUGCAGUGUUCCGUGCACAGAAAUCUUAUGUUUGUUCCGAGAAAAGUAUGCUGAGGGACUUCCAAGCCAAACUCUGGAAUCUGGGUUUCCACUCUUUGCUGGCUAAAACUGUUGUGCCCGAGUCACAAGGAUCCCAAAGAGACCUGGGAGACAGACCACCAAUGCAAAUGCACAAGGUUGAUUAAAUUGUCUAUCCUACCAUGGGAGAGAUCCUGUCUAGCAAGCUGAUGCAGCAGCCUCCAAGGAGGCCCUGUCUACUGCUAGGUUUUAAAGUUACAGGAUUACAUCAGUAGGUACGGGUGGGUUUCUGAUUGGUUGACAUUUGGGAAACAAUCAAGAAAUUUCUCAAAGUCAUAUUUUGGCAUGAAAUACCUGUGUAACAAUUAUUCUCAUUGGUCAGUGCUGAGAUGAACAUUCUGUGGUCUCUAUGGCUUUGGCUUGUUACUUGUAGGUGGCCUGUUGUUCAUAGAUACCAAUAGUUUUCAGAACUGUAUCCUGGAUACUACAGGGGAAGUUUUGGUCUCCCCUGGAGUUUCUUUUGUGUCCAAACAGUUCCCAGGAACCAAGUACCUAGUGGCGG
rnacentral:lncRNA from 1 species